AACUAUAGCUUAUUGAGUUUGUUCUGGUGAGUAGAAUCAUUACCUUCAGGCUUUUUGCUGUAAACACUGUAUCUUCAGAGAAAAUGCAGUGUUUACAUUACAGCCUAGUGAUAACUUCACUGGCCACUCCUUAGAAGGAUGUUAGAGAUCCUUCCUGGGUCAUGGCUGCUGUUGUGGAACCAAUCAAAUAAUUGAUAAUCUUGCGUAUCUGCC